rnacentral:snoRNA from 1 species
CUCCUCUCAGGGUCGCACCAGGAGAGUUUCCAGUACUCUACCAGUCUCAGCUAUGGGAGGGAGAGUCAAGCAGAGGCCUACCCAUUCCAUUCCUAGCUUGGGCAGUGACUAGCGAGUGGAAGGCAAUCUGCUACAAGU